CCUGUAAUAUCGUUGGAAUGCGCUGAUUUAUCUAUAGAAGCACCUUCGACCAUUAAAAAGAAUCCUUUUUUAUUGCGCUCAAGCUUACUAAGUGCACUUUGUUG
rfam:Staphylococcus aureus subsp. aureus NCTC 8325, complete genome.